rnacentral:tRNA from 1 species
GCCUGGGUGGCUCAGUCGGUUAAGCGUCUGACUUCGGCUCAGGUCACGAUCCCGCAGUUUGUGAGUUCGAGCCCCGCGUCAGGCU